CGAUCUGUAGCUGGUCUGAGAGGACGACCAGCCACACUGGGACUGAGACACGGCCCAGACUCCUACGGGAGGCAGCAGUGGGGAAUUUUGGACAAUGGGCGCAAGCCUGAUCCAGCCAUGCCGCGUGCGGGAAGAAGGCCUUCGGGUUGUAAACCGCUUUUGUCAGGGAAGAAAAGGUUCUGGUUAAUACCUGGGACUCAUGACGGUACCUGAAGAAUAAGCACCGGCUAACUACGUGCCAGCAGCCGCGGUAAUACGUAGGGUGCAAGCGUUAAUCGGAAUUACUGGGCGUAAAGCGUGCGCAGGCGGUUAUGCAAGACAGAGGUGAAUCCCCGGGCUCAACCUGGGAACUGCCUUUGUGACUGCAUGGCUAGAGUACGGUAGAGGGGGAUGGAUUCCGCGUGUAGCAGUGAA
rnacentral:rRNA from 1 species